ensembl:lncRNA novel transcript
AAAGGAAUGAUUUCUAGCUUCCUGUAGACACCAUUAGCUAAAUUGCAGUAUCUGCUUCUCUUAUCGUCUUUGCCAGGGUCAUUGUUUCUUGCACUGAACCUCGGAGGAAGGAUGAGGAGAGAGGGCCUGUCUCAGAUACUUACCUGUAUAUACCUGUGGGAGGAAGAAGAAAAAGGUGUGUCCACCUAGAAUAAUUUGUUUGCUGGAAGUUCUGUUGUUGGCAGAAAAUGGAAGCUACAAACUAGUGUGGUUAUCAGCAGGGAAUGGGAUCAAAGUUUCAGUCCAACAAGUCCAGGCAACUUUCAGCUUGAAGGCCAAGGUGUUACUACUUAGAAUUUAGGGCACAGAAGGCUGGUGUGUGUCGGCAGUGAUAUUUGGGAGAAUGAGUCUGUUUGGGAGACACUUUAGGUCAUACCAGGGGCCUGGACUUCUCCAAAUGAUCUCUCCAGCAGAGAGGCUGGACAUCUUCUAUAGCACCUCAGGGCUCCUAAGAACGCGGAAGUAGGAGUUGCCAGGUCUUAUUAAGACUGAGUCCUGAAACAGGUGCAGCAUCACUUCCACUGCACUCUCUUGGUUAAAGCAAGUCACAUACCCAACCCAGAGUGGAGUACAUGAGGUCCUGACUUCCAGGAGGUGUGUACACCAGGAGGGGUGUUUCACUGGGGGCCAUCAAUGUAAUGAACUGUCAUAGCAAGUGAGGCAGAGCAUUGAUUCUAGCAAUUCUUUUAGAGACUCUGAGACCCUUGGAGACAGAACUGUAGAGAUCAUCUAGCCCAACUCAUUGAGGAAACGGAGGUCCUGAUGACUACUGUCCACAGGGGCCGUGUGGAUGCUCUGGGUUUUCGCUUAAAGAAGUGACAAGUUAAGGAACCAUAUAUAUUUUGUAGAGAAAAAGGUCUUGAAAUGGUAGUGGCCAAUUUUCAAAAAUUUCAAAUACAUAGCAUAUCCCAGAGAAUGAGGAUAUGCUAUAUUUUUAGACAAAGUAUGCUAAGUCACUACUGAUCAAACAAUCACUGGAAUGACUUGACAAGAGGAACAGAGUGCCACUUAUCUGAAUUCUCAGCCAAAUGGGAGGAUGUUUCUUUUCCUUUAUAGGCUUAUUGUUAAAAGGUGUUUUGUACAACCGAAUAAUUUCCCUCUAAAGAAAUAAAAGAAAUCCUGGGAACCAGUAAGAUUCAUGACUCCUGCAAAAUCCUAAAUUUCCCUCAAUAAUUUCCCUUUUCUAAAAAGAAAAAAAAGUCGCUGGAUGACCAAGAUUGUUCUAAAUUCCUGGGUUGGUAUUUAGGCUCACGGAGUAGUUUCUUCAGUUGAGGUUUCUGAGCAUCUUCUCAGGAAGAUGGCGCUGCCUCAGACUUUCCCAGCACAGUGCCCCUAGUGGCAGAAGAGAAGGUUGCGUGCUGCUGGGCUCUAGCUCUAAAUGUACCUGAAAAUACUUUUUCUUGAAUUCUCCUCUUAAUCUUUAAAAUUUAUGUUAACCUUUCCUUCUGCUCUAUGAUAUAUUCAUAAUUGUUUUAAAAUAAAAUAUAAUGUUUUAGAUUAUUCAUCACUUACGGGGAUAGUCAAGGCUAUCCCCGUUUCCCCCUCCCCUCCCCUCCCCUCCGUCUAAUUACUGGACAUCUUUGAAACACUUGACAAAAUCAAUUAUUUUUUAAAUUUUAGAUUAAAUUAUUUUCGGCAAACGUUUUAAGUCCCUCCCCUUUGACCUCCGUGGGACGAAUAUACAGUCAUAUACUACAUAACAACCUUUCUGUCAACAACAGACCACAUAUAGAAUGGUGGUCCCAUAAGAUUAUAAUGAAGCUAAAACAUUCCCACCACCUACAGAGGUUGUAGCCGUGGGAAAGUCGUAGCACAAUGCAUUACUCACGUGUUUGUGGUGAUGCUAGUGUAAACAAACCUGCUGUGCUGCCAGCCACAUGAAAGUCUAGCAUAUGCAAUUAUGUACAGUAUGUAAAACUUGAUCAUAAUAAUAAACUAUGUUACUGGUUUAUA